rnacentral:rRNA from 1 species
CCAAUAGCGUAUAUUAAAGUUGUUGCAGUUAAAAAGCUCGUAGUUGAAUUUCGGGGUUGGUAGGUUGGUCAUGCCUCUGGUAUGUACUGGUCUCACUGAUUCCUCCUUCCUGAUGAACCUUAAUGCCAUUUAUUUGGUGUUUCGGGGAAUUUGGACUGUUACUUUGAAAAAAUUAGAGUGUUUAAAGCAAGCUAACGCUUGAAUACAUUAGCAUGGAAUAAUGAAAUAGGACGUUCGAUCCUAUUUUGUUGGUUUCUAGGAUUGACGUAAUGAUUAAUAGGGAUAGUUGGGGGCAUUAGUAUUCAAUUGUCAGAGGUGAAAUUCUUGGAUUUAUUGAAGACUAACUACUGCGAAAGCAUUUGCCAAGGAUGUUUUCAUUAAUCAAGAACGAAAGUUAGGGGAUCGAAGACGAUCAGAUACCGUCGUAGUCUUAACCAUAAACUAUGCCGACUAGGGAUCGGAUGAUGUUAAUUUUUUAAUGACUCAUUCGGCGCCUUACG